GUAUAUGGAACCAACUAAUAAUCAGCCAAGAAUGGAACAACAUAAUUAAUUAUAAUUAGUUUUAUUAAUUUAUAAUUUAAUUUUUUUUUAAAUUAUUGUUGACCACAUUCAAAACAUGAGGGAAGAUACGCUAAUGAUAGGAGAGAAUCACGGAACAGAUUCUUUGAUCAUUAAUUAGUUGGUUCUAUAUAAUUAAUUAUGUUUUAUUAAUGCGUAACACAUGAAACAUAGAAAUCAUAUCCAAAACCAUCCAAUUUACAAGAAAAAGAAACAUCCGUGUGCCUAUCAGUAGCAACAUCCGGUUAAAGCCACCGGUGCCUCUGAUUUACCAAUUGGUUGAUUCUUGGCUUAUAUAGAGUUGGUUCCCUAGCAUGAUUGAAGAGAUAAAAAUAGUAU